UACGGAGGGAGCUAGCGUUGUUCGGAAUUACUGGGCGUAAAGCGUGCGCAGGCGGUUCGUUGUGUCGGCGGUGAAAGCCCCGGGCUCAACCUGGGAAUGGCCGUUGAAACUGGCGAACUGGAGUGUGGCAGAGGGGGGUGGAAUUCCGCGUGUAGCAGUGAAAUGCGUAGAGAUGCGGAGGAACACCGAUGGCGAAGGCAGCCCCCUGGGCUGACACUGACGCUCAGGCACGAAAGCGUGGGGAGCAAACAGG
rnacentral:rRNA from 1 species